rnacentral:misc_RNA from 1 species
CUGCAUUCUAUGGAUUAUUCAUUUAGUUCUACAUAGAAAAGGGAAAACGGAGAAAGACAAGUCUUUAUUACAAGAAACUAUUUCAUACAACUGUUGUAUAUACAACAGAUAGAUUAUUAUGAUAGAAACCAAGUGAAUCCUAACAUAAUCAAUGGUUUCUCAUUUAUUAUUAUUCCUCAUUUUAUUAGCGGGCUUUCAGCAAAGCACUUUCAUAUAACCUAUACAGAGGCUAAUGUCCUCAAUGAUUCAGUUUUAUGACAUGCCAUAUUCAAUGGAACAGGGGGAUCAGAGAAGGCUCCUGUAGAAAUCUGGUCGAAAAAAUAUUCAUUGGCAGCUUCAGUGUAGUGAGCUCCAUCCCAAUUUACUCGAACUGAAGGGCAAGCACAUGAACCCACAACUAUUUUGGUACCGUCGUCUGCUGUAACUGUAUCUCCACAUGGAGCAGUAACACUAAAAUUGUACUUUCCUCCGUAGCCACAACAUGUUAUAAGUGGAAACUCGAAACCGUGUUUUUCUGGCUCACUGAAUAAAGAAUACUUGACAGAAUAGAUGUCAACGUGGACGAAUGUAGCUAAAGGCAAAUCCUUCCUGAGUUGAGCAACGAUCUCCUUCAACUUGUGAUUAAAAUGCUGAGCAACUUCAUUGUAAGCUUUUGCACAGCCUGCACUAUCCUUUUCUGCCCAGGGAAAAUACGUUAAAAUGAAUGAAAGACAACCAAUUGGUCCUGUGUUGUGAAUCCAAAAUGUUCUAGCUCCCAAAUCGUAUAUUUUCUUAACGUUUGCUGAGAAGCUAUUCACAAGACCAGGGACAGUUGCAUUCACUUCUUCCACAGUUAAGUUCAAGAAUCCUUCUGUAAGAUCAUUUUGACCAAUAUCGAAUGUGUAUAAAGCUUUCUCAAAAUAAUAUUCCUCGGGCACCAAUUCAGCAAAUAUGCCUCCAGUUUCCCUGAUAAACUGUGAUCUGGGUAUGAAUUGCCGGAAUUGCGAAUAUUGGACAUCAAGGUAGAAUGGACUAAAUCCACCAUGAGCAGGUAUAAUAGUAGUUGGUAGUUUAAUGGUGGAUCCUGCUGUGGCAAAAUCUGCACCAUGUUUGAAGUUGCUUCCCAGGGAACUAAGAUAUGGACUCAGAUAUGGGAGAUUGAAACUCUCGGCGAUAAAAUCUAUUAUGAGCCUUCCAUCAGAGUACCUUCCUGUCGACCUGUGAAAGAAAGUCUCUCCAUAAGGAGGGUUAAGAGGAUAAAAGGCAGCUGCCUUGCCACCGGUAUCGGAAUUGGAGUCGCCGAAGUUAAAGAUUGCUGGAAAAUCACAGGUUUCGGAAGCAUAAGCUAGGGAAAGCAUGCAUAAUAAGAAAGAGAGAGUGAUGAUAGGGUUGUUAUUGGUUUCAGGGAACUCCAUGAAGUGGAAGCAAAAACCAAGUGUUAACGCAACUCUAGUGGAAAGUUUUUUUUGUAUAAUAUAUAAUAGUGAAAGGGAGAUCUUUUAAUUAGCUACACGCACGUAGACGUAGCAUUCUGGAUAAUAUCAUCAAAACUCGCAAU